rnacentral:rRNA from 1 species
UUCGGAUUGUAGUCUGCAACCCGACUACAUGAAGCCGGAAUCGCUAGUAAUCGCAGAUCAGCAUGCUGCGGUGAAUACGUUCCCGGGUCUUGUACACACCGCCCGUCACACCAUGGGAGUCGGAAAUGCCCGAAGUCGGUGACCCAACCGGAAGGAGGGAGCCGCCGAAGGCAGGUCUGAUAACUGGGGUGAAGUCGUAACAAGGUAAC